GGCGCGCUAGGACGCGACCCCACCGCCGGCUGGCCAGCCUGAGGGCACCCUCCCGGCGCCGGCUUCGCGGAGGCCGAGCGACAGCCGCCUCCUUAUUGGGAACGGAGAGGGCGGCAGCCGGGCCCGCUCCGCCGAGGCCCGAGGCCCAACGCUGCGACACGGCCCGAGCAGCGGCCAGGCAGCCGCGCGCCCCCCGCACCCGUCCGUGGGUCUGGCCCGGGUCUCCUCACCAGUUCCGCGCACGGGGAGGGGCCGGCAACGGGCCGGAGGGGGCAGCGGCGCCCGAGAACAGAGCGCGGCCCCGGGCCUCGUGUCACUCACCGUUUGAAAUGCUCGAUGAUCUUCUCUUCCCGCACAUUCUCCGGAUGUUAGAAGGCUAAGCAAGCCCCUGUCUUACACAGUUGCAACAAUUACAGAACAAGAUGUGCUAGCUCAGGGCUUCCCUGGUGGCGCAGUGGUUGAGAAUCUGCCUGCCAAUGCAGGGGACACGGG